AACAAACGCUGGCGGCGUGCAUAACCCAUGCAAGUCUAACGGGAAUGUCGGCUUCGGCUGGCUAGUACCGUGGCGAACGGGUGAGUAACACGUGGGUAAUCUAACCUCAAGUUUGGGAUAACCUUGCGAAAGCGGGGCUAAUACCGAAUAAGCCCACGCCCUGCCCGCAUGGUGCGGUAAAAGGCGGCCUCUUCUUCAAAGCUGUCACUUGAGCAUGAGCCCGCGGCCUAUUAGCUAGUUGGUGGGGUAAUGGCCUACCAAGGCGACGAUGGGUAGCCGGCCUGAGAGGGUGUACGGCCACACUGGCACUGAGAUACGGGCCAGACUCCUACGGGAGGCAGCAGUGGGGAAUUUUGCGCAAUGGGGGAAACCCUGACGCAGCAACGCCGCGUGAGUGAUGAAGGCCUUCGGGUCGUAAAGCUCUUUUAGUGGGGAAGAAUCCCACCCGGACUAAUACUUCGGGUGUCUGACGGUACCCACAGAAAAAGUUCCGGCUAACUACGUGCCAGCCGCCGCUGUAACAC
rnacentral:rRNA from 1 species